GCGGGGGUGCCCGAGCGGCCAAAGGGGUCGGGUUUAGGUCCCGAUGGCUAAGUGCCGUCCGGGGUUCGAAUCCCCGCCCCCGCA
rnacentral:tRNA from 1 species